UGAAGCUCCCGCCAAGCAACGACAGCAGACCACCGCCGUGCACCCUCCCCUCGGGGACAGCGACCACCCCUCCCUCUCUGCUCCUCGCCGGUGGCUGCACGGCUGCCGCUGUCAAAGAUUUCAUAGAGUGGGGGACCAGCACCUGGGGAGGGAUCAACUCAUGCCUCCCUGUCGCCGCCUCAGGCGAGCCGUCGCAGUCCGACACCGUGCUCACGCCCGACGACGAGUACUCGCUAUACAUGUUCGCCGCGCUGGCGGACCGAACGAUGCCGCGGAAGAGGCCUGGCCCAAUCAUGCCACCGCCGCCGCUGCGGCGCUGCCGCGAGGCCACCAGCGUGCCGUGCGCCGCGCAGAGCCCGCUCCGGCCGCGCGCGAACUUCUCGCAGACGCCUCCGAAGUUGCAGCGCUUCCCGCCGCCGUGGGCCUUGCAGUACUCGGUGCUCCCCUGUGCGCUCUUGCCGCACCCAUCCACCCUGCACCGCUUGCCACCGCCGUGCUUCACGCAACAGUCCGUGCGCCCGCGCGCGCUCUUGCUGCACUCAGGCACCGCGCACCGCUUCCCGCCGCCGUGCGCCACGCAGAAGUCCGUGCCGCCGUGGACGCUCUUGGGGCACACGCCGCCGCCCUCGUACAUGCACCGCUUCCCGCCGCCGUGCGCCUUGCACAGCGGCGUGCUGCCUUCGGCCCCCUUGCCGCACCCCUCGAAGACGCACCGCUUCCCGCCGCCGUGCGACUUGCAGUACAGGGUGCUGCCCUGGGCUCCUUUGCGGCAGUCCGGGAACUGGCACCGCCGCCCGCCGCCGUGGGAGAUGCACAGCCCCACCCUCCCCUCGGCGCUCCUGAUGCAACCCUCGACCGAGCACCUCUUCCCGCCGCCGUGCUUGAUGCACCGCCCGGACUUGCCCCGCGCGGCUUUAGGGCAGUCAAGGUAGCCGCACCGUCGGCCGCCGCCAUGGGCGAUGCAGUGAUCCGUCUUCCCUUCGGCGCUCUUGGUGCAGCCGAGCUGCAGGCACCGGCGUCCCCCGCCGUGGGCCUUGCAGUAGGCCGUGCGGCUCUCGGCGCCCUUGUAGCACCCGGGCUUCUGGCACCUCUGCCCGCCACCGUGAGCGAUGCACAGGCCCGACGCGCCUCGCGCGCCCUUGGAGCACCCUUUGAACCUGCACUUCUUGGGAUGCCGGCGUUGAGUCUGCUGUCCAGGAUUGCUUGCCACCGUCACAACAUCAGAGCUCGCGCCACCAAAGGAAGCUUCCGUCAUGGAUGCCGAAGGUUCAGGGCUGAACCGAAAACCGCGGGGAUCAG
rnacentral:misc_RNA from 1 species